GAGACAGAGUUAGAGAGAGAAGUGUGAUGGUGAAGGUGCGUGUCCAUUGCCUCCAACCGGCCAUUCGACUUACAUCCUUUCUGCCUCAAGUACGCGUCUCAACAGAGAACGAAAAUUUGAGAGAGAGAAAGAACGGUCGGUAUUAGAGAUAGAAAGAGCUGGAGCGGUUGCUGGUUGCAAUCGUUGGAAGGCCGACAGUGACGGUAGUGGUUGGGUAGCUUAGGGUUCCGGUCGGCAUGUGUUGUUAGGGUUAAAGUGAAAUACGAGAAGCCACAGAGCAUUCAUCAGACACAUUCCGCCUCCAUCCUCGAUCCUGCCACGACCUACAGCCGGCCACCCUGUUUUGGUCCACUUCUAUCCUCAGAUUACAUGUGUUCUGGUUCUGAUUACUUGAUUAUUAUAGAGGGCUCCAAUAAUCUUGAAGAUUAUUUCUUCAAUAUUGAGAAAUACUUUUGAGUUAUGAUAAAAAAAAAACUAAUAAACUUCAAAAGAUUCGUUGUAGACCAAACAGAAAUCCUUGUAUUUAUAUUUACUUUACUUGAUCGUCAUCUCCCGUUGAUGAAAAAACAUGGUUUCUGUUUCUAUUUUUAAGCUUUUUGGUGUUCUUGAUGAAGCUUUUUAUUGUUGUGUUCGAAUUAGAAUUAUGGAAUAUAUUAGUGUAGUUGUAUGUUUAACGUUGAAUUCAAGUAACAUGCCAUAGAAGAAUGGUGGAUCUGUCUAUGAAGUUAAUGCGGUAAAAUAUCGGAUAUCGGCUGUGGACCGAUAUUUGAGAUAUAGGUUAUCCCGGUGAGAUAUCGGUGGGAUAUCGGUGAUUUUAAUACAAUGCAAAAUUUAUAUAUAUAGCAAUUUAACACUAAUAAUUCAGUGAUAUAUUGGUGAUAUAUCGAUUAUAGCGGGCAAAUAUCAGUGAUAUAUUGGUUAUAUCGGUCAAAUAUCGGUGAUAUAUCGGUUAUAUCGGUCAAUAUCAUCGAUAAUAUCGGUACCGAUAUUUUGACCGAUAUUUGAGACCAAUAUUUUACUAGGGGACCAAUAUAACCGAUAUAUCACCGAGAUUUACUGCAUAGGGAUCUGUUCCUUGAACAAGAAAAGCAAUACUGGAAGACUCGACCAAGUUAUCCACAACAAACAAUUGUUUGAUUUCAUCGCCUCCAUGAUGCCAAGGAACGGCGUCGUUUGGGAUGCCAGCACCGGCUGCGGUCAGGCCGUCACCUCAGCUGGCAACGUUCUCCAUUACUGCAUUGAGAACAUUAAGAAUAUCGCUCACAAAAUGGUUAUUCUGAUGUUCAGAGGACAUCUGCUACCGGCGGUCUAUGAGAGGGUACCGCAAAGAGUGAGAGAUCAAACGAGGAUGAUAUAUUUGGAGAAUCUGCACCUAGAUCAUUAGCUAUGCAAUGGAA